rnacentral:snRNA from 1 species
UUGCUUCAGCAGCACAUAUACUAAAAUUGGAACAAUACAGAGAUUAGUGUGGCCCCUGUGCAAGGAUGAGAUGCAGAUUUGUGAAGCAUUCCAUAUUUUU